GGAAUGACGGGACCGCACAAGCGGUGGAUGAUGUGGUUUAAUUCGAUGCAACGCGAAAACCUUACCCACCUUUGACAUGUACGGAAUCCUUUAGAGAUAGAGGAGUGCUCGAAAGAGAGCCGUAACACAGGUGCUGCAUGGCUGUCGUCAGCUCGUGUCGUGAGAUGUUGGGUUAAGUCCCGCAACGAGUGCAACCCUUGUCAUUAGUUGCUACAUUCAGUUGGGCACUCUAAUGAGACUGCCGGUGACAAACCGGAGGAAGGUGGGGAUGACGUCAAGUCCUCAUGGCCCUUAUAGGUGGGGCUACACACGUCAUACAAUGGAUGGUACAAAGGGUCGCCAACCCGCGAGGGGGAGCCAAUCCCAUAAAGCCAUUCGUAGUCCGGAUCGCAGUCUGCAACUCGACUGCGUGAAGUCGGAAUCGCUAGUAAUCGUGGAUCAGAAUGUCACGGUGAAUACGUUCCCGGGUCUU
rnacentral:rRNA from 1 species